rnacentral:rRNA from 1 species
AUGAUACUAUACCUUGAUGCGCUUGUCCAUGACAUCCCAAUAAGCAACUGCGCGAUACGAUCGAAUGCAUGGGAUAGUACUCUAAUUGCCAAGGUGAUCAAGAAGGAUACCAUCUCUCCUGAGGAGUAUAGAGGCACGGAGCAGCCACCACUGUUUGGUGGAAUUUUGCAAGCUGAAGCAUUCGUGGCAUCCAAGUUACCAAUUACCUACAAUCCUCAGAAAAAGGCAAAGAUUGCGAAAGUGGUCAAUGACCUGUGCAGGGCUGUAACUGAACAGNNNNNNNNNNNNNNNNNNNNNNNNNNNNNNNNNNNNNNNNNAGGAGAGGAGGAGGAGGAACAUAGUGAGGCAGAGGAGGAGGAAGAAGAAGGUGAGGCCGAAGAGGGGGACGGGGACAAAGGUGCAGCAGUUGAUGGCAGUGAGAGGGGAGAAGACAAAGGCGUAGCAGCUGAUGGCAGUGAGAGGGAAGAAGACGACGAUGAAGAAGACGAGGACAGUUAUGGUGAUGAUAAAGGGGGAUCCAAUGGAGGCAGCGACAUCAGCGAUGAUGAUGAUAAUGAUGAUGACAACGCCCCUGGUUCUGGUGGUACAGGCGGCAACACAGCCAGGAGGACUAGCACUUCUGCCACCCCUGCCAGCAGCAGCAAUUCAUUGAGUAGCAGGAGCACACUACAGAUGUUAAUCAACAAAACUUGCUGGAAAGACAAGGAUUUGCCGAAGUCAAAGAAAAAUGACGAAGCAGAGUCUCAGGGCAGCAUUGAUAUGUUCAAGCUCUGUAACUUGAUGCUAGCUUUGCCAACCAACUUUCCUGUGCUAGAUUUUAGCGACCAAGAUAUGUGUGAGAAGAUCAACUUUGCCAUUGACAAGAGCCUAUUCUUAUCAAGUGUUGCUAAAAAUAAUCAAAUUGACAUGGAGGAAGCAGGAAAGGGUCUUGACUGGGUUCAUUCAAAGGAAAAAUACAAGGAAUAUUUGAAGCAGCUUCCAGACCUAAGCUCCGGCAAGAGCAAGGCAGCAUCCAUGGCAAACCCUCACGUGGUCCAGAAGCAUAAAGCAGUUUCAAUGAAGAAGAAUCUGCAGUUGCCUGAAACCAAGGAGAAGAUGGUGAGUGCAGAUGCUGAAGUAAAUAUGGUCAAGGAAGCUGUGCUUCAAACUGAUAUGCCAAAUGUAGUGAGCAGAGAGCCAACCACCAUCACAGGAGUUCAACAGAUCAAGGGGAAGACUCCCCUUUCAACAGUCCCACCAAAACCACCUAAGCAGCAAAAGAUUGUCAAGUUUGCCAGGGGCACAAAGGGGGAACAGACCACAAAAGGGGUGCCAAGUUCUGCUAGGUUGCUGCCAACUCAGACUGGAAAGAUGCCAACUACAGAUACCAGUGUGCCAACUGAUGUGUCAUCUAGCAGUGUGGUCACAGUCAAAACCACCACAGCUGCUCAGAAAGGCACCACUGCAACUGCAAGCCCCAAGGUGCCUACUCAUAGAGAUGCUUCAAUGCCAAACACAAAAGGAGGUGAUCCUACUACCAAAUUGUCGUCCCCAAGAGCCAGCACACAGCAGCCAAGCAAGCCUGCAUCACCAAGAGCUGACUCUCAGCAACCAUUAACACAAGAGGAGGUGUUCAAGAUUAUAAGUAGGUGCAAGCUUCCAAGGCCGCAAACUACAACACUAUCGCGAACCAAGUCAGUGAAUGAUGCACCCGUGUUUGUGCCACAAGGAGAUGCCCUAGUCCUUGAACCCAUACGAAGAUCAAAGUCUUAUCAUGGUGACGGGUUCUGCGAUGCACCAUCUUUUCACCUCGGCAUAGAUGGUCAUGCUCCAGCACUUGCUCCAGCAGCAGAAACAACGGAAGACGGUGUGAUUUGUAUUGAUGAGUGUGAGUUGGACCCAGCAGCUAUGAAUGAAGGAUGCGCUGCUGCUGAUGCUGGAAAGGCAAUAGCUCAAGAGCUAGAUGUUGGAUCACCAGAGAAUUGCCACACCCCGAUAUGCGCAGAACCAGAAGCUGGCCCGCAGCAUCUCAAAGGUCUCCAUUCAUUGACUACAACAAGAAAAAGUCUUUCAGCUCCAAUGAGGCAGUGA